AAGACGAAAAUGCCCUUAAACGGGACUAAGGGGCGAAAAUUUAACAAUUUGGAUUGAGUUGGACACGUGGGAUCCCCACAUCCCUCAAAACCUUCCCCAAUUCCCGUACCUUGUCUCUCUAUCUCUCUUCCCUCACGACUCUCUCUCACUCUCAGUUCUCUCUCUUCCUCUCCGACGCUCAACCUCACCCAAAACCACCUAAAACAUAAACAAACGUCCAAGAUAAGACCACAUUUGGACUCCUGGAACUUCCACGAUCACGUAGACACCAAUUUCAGGCUAAAACAAGAUCACAGCGAGCUUAGUGAGGUCCCAAGGAAGCUCGGAGUGCUUCGUUGGAAGUUUUUGGACGUAAAAACACGGAGAUCGACAAGUUCAAAGUUUGGCCGGAGCUUUCGAGGCAUUUUUCCGGCGAAUCUCCGGCGAUUUAGGAGUCGAGUUUCCGGCGACCUCCGAGGCUUUCGAGGCAGUUUCCGGCCAAACUACGGCGAAC